GACGAACUCUGGCGGCGCGCUUAACACAUGCAAGUCGAACGGAAAGGCCUGCUUUCCCUUGUGGAUUGCGGGUACUCGAGUGGCGAACGGGUGAGUAACACGUGAGUGAUCUGCCCCCAACUUGGGUAUAAGCCUGGGAAACUGGGUCUAAUUCCCGAUAGGACUGCAGGGUGGUGCCUGUGGUGGAAAACGAUUUUCUAGUGGUUGGGGAUGAGCUCGCGGCCUAUCAGCUUGUUGGUGGGGUAAUGGCCUACCAAGGCGGCGACGGGUAGCCGGCCUGAGAGGGUGGACGGCCACAUUGGGACUGAGAUACGGCCCAGACUCCUACGGGAGGCAGCAGUGGGGAAUAUUGCACAAUGGGCGGAAGCCUGAUGCAGCGACGCCGCGUGGGGGAUGACGGCCUUCGGGUUGUAAACUCCUUUCGACCGCGAGGAAGCCACCUGGUUGGAAGGGUGGUGACGGUAGUGGUAGAAGAAGCACCGGCUAACUACGUG
rnacentral:rRNA from 1 species